UUACUAAUACAGUUGAGUCAUACGCUAAUAAACCAAAUUAAGGAUCUAAGUUGUUAAAUUACAAGUACCACAAAUUAAUGAAUCCUUAGCUUUCGUCACAAAACACCGUCCCCGACGUCUGCAACUUCUCAGACCGGUCCUGUCAAUUUUAGAUGAUAAAGUUCGUAAGCACAGUGCUGACUCUAAUCCCCAUCUUCCUGCAAUAGAUCAAAUAAACAAAACCCUAAAUAAAAUAAAUUAAAAUCAAAUCAGAAAAAUGAAAAAUGAAAAAUGGAUAAAUGGGAAAUAUGAUAAAAUUACCUUGAGUUGGAGAGGAAGAGUGGGUGGUGGGAUGAGAAGGGAAGCCAUGGAAGAGCAGCUGCUCAUCUGGGUUUUUGUAGGUGCCUUGUGUUCUUUGUGACCAUUUCCCUACAGCUGCAGGCUCG
rnacentral:lncRNA from 1 species